CCCUUAGAUGUUCUGGGCGGCCCGCGCACUACAAUGGCGUGUGCAGCGAGUGCCGAAGUAGAGUUUUCCGAGGUAUUCUUGCAAUGCUCGUUUUGAUGGGGAUCGACCCUUGCAACUGUUGGUUUUGAACGAGGAAUUCCUUGUAAGCAUGGUUUAUCAUCCGACGCUGAAUGCGUCCCUGCCCUUUGUACACACCGCCCGUCGCUCCUACCGAUGAGUCGUCCGGUGAAGUUCGUAGACCUCGUGAUCGCGGAUCACUGGGGGAAGCAAAAUGAACCUCGCGGUUUAGAGGAAGGAGAAGUCGUAACA
rnacentral:rRNA from 1 species